rnacentral:lncRNA from 1 species
UCUGCAAUGCAACCACGAGUUGUAUACUUUGUCAAAGAAUUUAUCAUCACUGUAUGGGAUAACCAAGCAAUCAUCAACUUAACCUUUACUCCAUCUCCAAAUUCUUUUGCUUUCAUUAAUGGCAUAGAAAUAGUUUCCAUGCCAACCAAUCUGUACACAAAAGAUAACGACUAUGCUUAUCCCUUCGUAAAUGCUAACACUAUCUUCAAUUUCGACAACACAACGGCUCUUGAAACUGUUUGUCGUCUAAAUGUUGGCGGAGGAGAUAUUGAGAAUGUUAACGAUACAGGAAUUUUUCGAAGAUGGUCCGAUGAUUCCCUUUAUAUUUUUGGUGGUCCUGGAAAUGUGCAUGCGUGGCGCGGUGACGUCACAGUAAAAUACAGUAAGGAUACACCUGCGUAUGUUGCACCGGAGGCUGUAUACAUUACCAAACGUACGAUGAGUGCAAAUUCUGUGGUAAACCAGAAUUCCAAUCUCACGUGGCACUUUUUGGUUGAUUCUGGCUUCAAUUAUCUUCUCCGGCUCCAUUUUUGUGAAACUGAAAAAGAGAUCACUCAUAAAGGUCAAAGAGUGUUUUCCAUAUUUAUAAAUAACAUGACAGCUGAAGCACAAGCAGAUGUGAUCCACUGGAGUGGUGGUAAUAGCAUACCAGUCUACAAAGAUUACGUGAUUUGGGUCCCAGGAGGAGGAAGCCAAAGCAACCAGGACUUAUGGCUCGCUUUACACCCCACUGCCGGUCAUUCAACUUAUGCUAAUGCAAUCUUGAAUGGUCUAGAGAUAUUCAAGCUGAACAACUCAGACGGUAAUCUUGCUGGAUCCAACCCUGAACCGCUAAUGGUGGGUCCUCCAUCAUCACAACAACAAUCAAGCUUACAGGAGAUAACAAAGAGUAAAGGGCUAUCUGUUGUAGUUAUUGUUGGGGUUGUGAUAGGUGUAAUAUUUGCGCUUUCUGUUGCUCUAUUUUUCUUUAUCUACAAACGAAAAGGGAAAGGACCACAAAGGAAAGCAACUGAUAGUGAUGAUUUUGGUAUAUCACUGCCAACUGAUCUUUGCCGUCGAUUUACAACGGCUGAAAUUAAAGCAGCUACAAGAAAUUUCGAAGAUCAGAACAUCAUUGGCUCUGGGGGUUUUGGUACUGUGUAUAUAGGCUAUAUUCAAAAUCAAUUCAUCCCAGUUGCAAUAAAAAGGCUAAAUUCAUCGUCAAAACAGGGGACUCGCGAAUUCCACACAGAGAUUGAGAUGUUGUCCAGGCUCAGACACAUUCAUCUCGUCUCUUUGAUUGGAUACUGCGAUGAUCAAGAUGAGAUGAUCCUUGUAUACGAGUACAUGCCGCAUGGGAGCCUUCAAGAUCAUCUAUACAGAACAAAUAAUCCUCCUCUCCCAUGGAAGCAAAGACUACAAAUAUGUAUAGGAGCUGCAAAAGGGUUACAUUAUCUUCAUACAGGUGUAAAACACACCAUCAUCCACCGUGAUGUGAAGUCAUCAAACAUACUAUUGGGCAGGAAUUGGGUGGCCAAGGUUUCAGAUUUUGGCUUGUCAAAAACAGGUCCCACCAGUGAAGACGAAACCCAUGUCAGCACUGUUGUUAGAGGUAGUGUAGGCUACCUUGACCCCGAGUACUAUCGCAGGCAACACCUCACUGAGAAAUCUGAUGUCUACUCAUUUGGGGUAGUGUUGUUAGAAGUACUGUGCGCCCGGCCACCAAUCAUGUCAAACCUAAACAAAGAACAAGUGAACUUGGUUGAGUGGACAAGAAAAUGUUGUCGAAAAGGAACUCUUGAUCAGAUUAUUGACCCACAGUUGCAUGGUGAUAUCACAUCUGUCUCUUUAAACAAGUUUGUGGAGAUCGCUGAAAGUUGUGUGCGUGAAAAAGCAACUGAAAGGCCAAAAAUGUGUGAUGUGAUAUGGAGCCUUGAAUUUGCAUUGCAGCUUCAAGAAUUUGCUGAGAAAAAUUCUCACGCAAGUGAUAUUGUCAGUGAGAACCAGAAAGAAUCAUCUAUGCCGUGUAAGGAGGUCGCUACCAUUGAUGAUGAUGAUAUAUUUACAUUCUCAGAUGGAUCGAUUAGAGAUUCAAGGAGCACAAUUAGUACCAAGUAAUGACUCUGAUGAAGUGAAAUCAGGUUUUUCAGAAAUAAUUAAUGCGCAGGGAGAAUGAGUUCGAAAUGAACCCUAAAGGGAGACGUAGGCGGGGAAAAUUUACUUAGACCGAGUCUAUGGCCUCGCUACGCGGAGUAAACUAAUAAAAACAAAAUUUAUAAUUGAAAUGAGAGUAUUUUUUACCAUGAAUUAGAAAAAAAAAAUGAUAAAGUCGGAACACUUUUAAAAAAAUUCUUAUUGUCAUUGAUUUAGUCUGUAAAUGUGACUAUAGACCCGGUCUAGAUAAAUAAUUUCUACUUAUAAUAUGUGAGUCACUUGAAUGUACUGAUGUUAUAAAAUACAUUACCUUCAAUAUAGUCUGGUUCCAAGUAGACUUGUUCUUCGUUAUAUAGUUGGGGACUUUCAACUUUAUCCAUUUGGUUAAAGCAAUUUUCCACACUGGUACCAGUUCUUAGCUUUAGUCCUUGGUAAUUAUUAUUUUAACCAAUUUGAUGAUGUGCAAUAGUUCUAAUUAUAUAUAUAUAGUUCGUAGUUAGCAUAAUUUGGAUUCAAAUUCAUCCACCAUAAACGUGAUUUUGGUUUCAAUUCAUAUGUAUGCUUUAUGCUAGAGAUUACCUAUAUAUUUUAAAGAAAUUACUUGUUUUAUUUUUUUUUCAGAUAUAUGGUCAGAAAUAUCUCGUUUCAAUAAAAAUUUUCAUUUUCAUUAUUUUGAGGCUAUGAUAAAAAAUUUUAUUUUCGCUAUUUUGGUCCAUACGAUGUGAUCCGGUUUAGGUAAAAUUUUCCAGCAUCUUAAUAUUGGCAAAUGCUUAUGAGAAAUCAUUACAAAGUCCUGAAGUUCUGUUCAAACUCACUUUUGGAUCUGUUCAUCCAAAAAAUCAAUUCUUAAUCAUUAGUCAGACUCAUUUUCUGAAACGUAAUUAUAUGCUCACUUUAGAUAGACACUUGUUUAUAAUAAUAACUAAACAAAAGUGACAAGUUAAAUUUAUAAUAUAAAUAAAGUUUUAAACAUAAAAGACAUCAGUUUUUUUUUUUUUUAAUUUAAAACGUAAAUAUAUUUUUUUUCACUUUGAAUUAUUUAGUUAAUGAAAAUAUAGGGGAAGAUAUAAUUGUGGUCCAUAUUUUCUUCAGUGGGCCCUGCAUACACUACCAAAUAUUUAACUUUUUUAUUACAAUUAAAAAUAAGAAUUUCUUUUUUUUUUUUUUAACAAAAAUGGGGAAUUGAAGAAUCUAAUUGGACCGAAUAAAAAUUAUAGUCCUCAGUUGACCAAACCAGGUAAGUUCAGUGGUCUAAAGGGGAUUUCCCCUAUCCCAUCUAUCUAUAAAGACGACCACAAUUUUUAGGCUUCAGCCAAAUAAGAGUCACACUGAUAUAAUUCCAUAUAGGGAGAAAUUGAGGCAAAAAAGCAAAAAAGAGAUCAGCUGAAAUGAAAGGAGGGUCUGUCGAAUUGUCUUUACCUGUUCUGCUAAUGAUACUGAUCAUCUGCACCAAUGCUUCAACAACCAAAGCUGCAAUUUUGACCCGUAGAACAAUCACUGGAUCUUGGAAUGAUGAUAUGCCCGAAUUCAUUGCAGACGAAGAGCACUUGAUGGAAUCCAAUGUAAGCCAGAUUCUUCUUCAACAGAAUAAUUAUAUUACUUAUCCAGCAUUAAAUAAACAAGCAUUUUGCACAGAAGGAAUAUAUGGUAAUUGUCUUGGGAAGGAAAUGAAAAUUGGCAGGCCUUGUAAUGCCUACGAUCGUUGCAGAGGAGGUUCCCCAAGUUGACCAGAAGAAGACGACGUAUAUACAAAUACGGCAGGUUUGAAGCAUUCAUAUAUAGUGUGUGUGUGGAUCUGUAUUAUUUAGCUAUUAUAUAUAAUUAAAGAAGCUCGAUGGUAUUGUAAUCUUAGCUCGAUGAUAAUGCUACUCUAAUCACGCUGAGGUUAUUAUCAUCACAGAGCAUAACUUUGUUAUCCUUGAUUAUUAAUUUACGGUAUUAUGAAGAACUGUAUUUGCUGUAGAAUUCUUUGCUGUUGUAUAGAUUAUAUUCUAUUAUUUCUAGUCGCCGUUUGAGAGGCUAUCAAAAUUAUCCAAGCUUAUACAUAAUCAUUUGAGUAUACUGAAGUCGUGAUUUAUAAAAAAUCUAUCAUUUCUCAUGAAGUGUCAAUUGUUCACUGUAGAAUUUUAUAUGAUAAGUGUUAAAUUUGAAGUAAGGAUGUUGGGUUAUUAAUAAUUUCUACAAUACUAUUAAAUAUGACCUCUACAAGGACAAGAUCUACUUAAGUUCAGCAAACGAUUAAAAUUAAGGGUUUGAUAUGUAAAAAAUAUUCAUAGAAUAUUUAAACCAUCCGAUGUUCGAAAUUCGUGACUUGACUAAUUCAGAUUUAUACCAAACAUAUCUAUAAAGAGCACAAAGCACUCCUCUCAAAUGUUUAAUUGAAGGAUAAGAAAUGUGCGAUGAAUUAAAAUUCUUAGGGCAAAGAAUUUUAUACCACCACAAACUUCAAAAUAAUGUCAGUAUUGCCCCCAAAUAAAGUGUGGAUACUCAUUAAAAAAAUCCAAAGAUUAUUUGUAUGACAUUCGUGUUUGGGUUAAUUGCCCUUUUAAUUAACUGAAUUUUUUUUCGCGGAAGAAAGUAAAUAAUAGAGUUAUCAUCAAGUUUUAGAUAAUAAUUGAAUGGUUAGAUACAUUUCUCUCCGAUAGUAAUUUUUGUCACAUCCAAAAUGACAAAUGACAACAAAAUUGACUUAUCAUUACUUUCCAAAAAAUAAAACGACAAUAUUGUCUUUGAUUUUAAGGACAAAAUCACAUCAUGCUUCAAUUUGUCGUAUCAUGUAGCUGAUUCAAUGCAAAUUCUUUUCUCACACUAUUAGUAUAAUUAUUUAUGGGCCGGGCCUAAGCGAGCCAAGUUUGACCUUGCCACACCAAAAACAUUUGAGCCCGGUUGGAUCAAGCCCGACUUUGUAGAAACCCUCGUUCCAAGUCUGGUCAGCUUUAAUCUGGCCGUUAAAUUUUUCACCCCUACUUAUUUUUUCUGGUUCCGCUGCUGCGUCCAAACUCACACCUUCAUCUUUCAGCCUCCAUUGGAGACUGCAAAUCAUAGUCAUGAUUUUUUUUUUUUUUUUACUUUUCGUGAAGGCAUUUAAUAUUUUGAUUCACAAUUGCAAAUAGUUCAAUCUUAAAUGUCAGCUCUCCCACAACUCACAAGCUAGAAAAUAUCUAAAUAUAUUAAUAGGUUAGAAAGAUAAUAACCAAUCCCAAUUUCUUCUCCCCCUAUGGCCUAAUGUAAAACAAAAGACUCUUUCCAAAAAAAAAAAAAAAAAAAGAAUCUGACUAUUUUGAACUUAGAACCUACAACAAACUGACAGAAAAUUUCCAUUAUGCACACUGCAGUUUUCUACCUUCUCCUUCUCAGUCCCCUUCUUUCAACCAUUGCAAUCCAAAACCUGUCUCCUUACACCCCUGCGGAUCUAAUUCUCCUAAAUUGUAGUGCACCAAAUGAAGGACAAUCAAUGGAUGGACGGAACUGGGAGGGUGAUGCCGGUCACUGGUCCAAAUAUUUUCCUUUCAAGUCUGAAAUCUCAUCACCCUCCAAAGCCUCCCAACAAGAACUAUCAUUUCAGUGCACUGAAGUCGUGAUUUAUAAAAAAUCUAUCAUUUCUCAUGAAGGGUCAAUUGUUAAGUGUAGAAUUUCGUAUGCUAAGUGUUAAAUUUGUGUUGGGAAAAGAUAUUAAAAAAGACAUCAGGAAGAAAAAAUGGGAUUAAAGCUGCAGAUGCUUUAUUGCUUUUUGACUAACUAUAUUUUAAAAAUAGCUAUGAUGUGCCUAUAUAUGUAGGCUUACACGGUUUAAAAAUAAAAAAUCUUGGAAAUUCACUAAGCCUGUCGGAGAUUUAUUAGCAACAAAUCCUACUAAGAUAUUGACCAAAAAACAAAUUCACAAGUUUUCAAAAAUUACUAACAAACUCCUCAAAACCCGGUCAACCUUUGAAUCACAUCUCAACACUUUCCCUUGAUUCAAAGUUGCAGAUUGCAAGCAAUCCUCUGAAGUAGCAGAACUUUUCUUUUGAUAGAGCCUUGGUAAGGAUGUUCGCUAGUUGUUCAUUGGUGUUACAAUACUUCAAGACAAUUUCUUCUUUUACAACAAGGUCACGAAUAUAAUGAUGCUAAAAUUCAACAUGCUUUGUUCUGCUGUGAAAUGUUGGGUUCUUUGUCAUGGAGAUAGUUGCUUUGUUAUCACAAAAUAUUUUUGUCGCUCCUUUAUGCUCUUGUUGAAGAUCAGCUAACACUCUUCUUAGCCAAAUGGCUUGACACGCUGCUAAAGCUGCUACAACAUAUUCUACUUCUGAGGUUGAUAGCGCCGCUAUUGCUUGCUUCUUUGAGCUCUAAGUAAUCACUCCUGAUCCUAGAGUGCAAACACUUGCUGAAAUGCUCCGUUUAUCAUCUAACGAUCCUGCCCAAUCGCUAUAUGUGAACCCAUAUAAUUUGAAAUUAGAAGAUUUAGAAUACCAAAUUUCAUACUCCAUAGUUCGAGCAACAUAACGCAAGACUCGUUUUGUUGCUCCAUAAUAAACCUUUGAAGGCUGUUGCAUAAAACUAGAAAUAACACCAACAGAAAAUGCAAUGUCGGGUCAUGUGUGCAUCAAGUAAAUCAAUCCCCCAACCAAGCUUCUAAACCUUUUAGCUUCUGCCAUUUCUGCUCCAUCUUCAUGCUGCAAUUUCUCAUUAAUAUUCAUGGGUGUGGCUGUAGGCUUACAAUUAAGCAUGCCAAAUUUACUUAUAAUAUCUCUCGCAUAUUUCCUUUGUGAAAUAAAGAUCCCAUCUUCAACUUGAUAUACUUCAAGACCAAGAAAAUAGUGCAAUAAACCCAUAUCUGACAUCUUAAAUUCACUCAUCAUUUAAGACUUAAAUUUAUCCACAAGAGAAUUAGAAAAGCUAGUAUAAAUGAUAUCAUCAACAUAAAGGCAGAUAAUGAUGAAAUCACUUUUACAUUCCUUCUUCACAUACAAAGUGGGCUCAUUCUCACUUCUCAUGUAUCCUUUUUCCUUAAAAUAUCCAUCAAUCUUGCUAUACCAAGCUCGAGGGGCCUGCUUCAACUCGUACAGUGCCUUUUUCAACUUGUAUACCUUUGUUUCUUUGCCUUUCUUUAUGAAUCGCUCUGGCUGUGCUACGUAGACUUCUUCUUAUAAAUCUCCAUUGAGGAAAGCUGACUUGAUGUCAAAUUGAUAAACAGGCCACCGUAAUUCUGCUGCUAAUGUUAGAACAGUUCUUGUAGUUUCAAAGCGAGCUACUGGAGAGAAAGUUUCUACGAAAUCCACACUUUGUUGUUGCGCAUACCCUUUUGCCACAAGACGAGCUUUGUGCUUCUGUAUGCUUCGAUCUGCUACAAAUUUUGUCUUGAACACCCACUUUAAGUUAAAUGCAUUUUUGCCAUUCGGUAAGCCAACCAUUUCCCAUGUUCCAUUCUUCUCAAUUGCUUGCAUCUCUUCCACCAUGGCUUUGUACCACUCUUCUUUUUCGGCUACUUCUUUAUAACAUAUAGGGUCUGAAAUAGUAAGAGCAAAUUGACAAGAUGCAUAGAUGUACUUCCUUGGCGGUGUCUCAUCUGAAGAUUCUUCAAGAGAAGAGUUGUUGUUUGGUGAUGCUAAAGUUGAUGAGUUUGACAAAUUUUGUGUUGUUGUAGAGGCAUUAGUAGGUGCAAGGAGUUGACUCUUAUUUUUUCAUCCGAAGAAACUUUAAUUGGAAUCUUUUGCUCAUUACCCCAAUCCCAACUUACAUUUUCAUCAAAUAUUACAUCCCUUUUAACUAAAAUCUUUUCAUUAAGAGGGCUAUACAAUUUAUAUGCUUUUGAUUGAGUACAAUAACCAAUGAAAAUGCAUUUUUCAUAUUUUUCAUCAAGCUUUUGAAGAAUUUGAGAAUUUAUCAAAGCAUAAGCAACACACCCAAAGACUCGUAAAUUACUUAUAGAUGGUUUCCUUCCAUGCCAUGCUUCAUAAGGAGUUCGAUUCAUGCAGCCUUUGUUUGUGAGAGAUUUAAUAAAUAGACAGAUGUUGCUACAGCUUCUGUCUAAAAUUGGUUUGAAAGUCUUCUUGCUUGUAACAUGCUUCUUGCCAUCUCCACAACAGUUCAAUUUUUUCGUUCAGCGAUGCCAUUUUAUUCUAGAGUGUAAGGAGCUGUUAAUUCCCUUUGGAUCCCACUUUCUUCACAAAACAGAUUGAAUUCUUUAGAUACGAACUCUCCACCCCUAAUUGUGCGAAGAAUUUCGAUGUGGCAGCCAUUUUGGUUCUCUACCAUAGCUUUAAAACUCUGAAAUUUCUCAAAAGUCUUUGACUUGUGUUUUCAUUUAUUUCAUAAUGAAAAUCAGAAGAACCAUUUAUUUGAAAAACUUCCUUCUAACAUUAUGAAAAUAAAUGAAUACCCAUUUUAUCUGUCGACAUCCAAAUUUUACUGUUUUAAUUUUUGAAAUUCUUCUAUUUUAUUAACCCUUUGAUAUUGAUUUAGUGAUUAGUGAGAUAUGCAAUCAAUUGGCAAAAUCUGAGAAUUAUUUGAUUGAAUGCACUUAGAUGAACAUUUUUCAGUGCUGGUCAUCAUUAGAGAUUGAUUUUUUAUUGGUUUAGUAUAAAUUGCUCUUCAGUUUCCUUCACAUUUCAUAUUGAAACCUAUAAAAUUAUUUCUAUUAUUUAUAGCUUACUUCAAAUUAUACUUUUGCAUAUAGAAAAAUGUUAAAUGGGAUUCAACUUGCAAGUGUCAUGAAUAAUAAUACUUGAGGUCUCUAAGGCCAAAGUACAAGCAUUACAGCAAAGAAGGAAGUGAAGUACAACCAGUAGUUGAGGUCUCUACUUUUAUUAGUAGUUUAUGAUUAAUUAUGAAAGUUUUAAUUUAUUAUUCUAUCAAUACUUUGGAUAAUUUUAACGAGAAUUGUCUUAUAUAAUUGUCAGUUUGGAAAAAUUAAUUUCUAAACUAUGAUCCAACUAACCAAGAAGUUUUUAACUUAUAGAUGUUAGAAUAAGGGAAACACAGUAUAUAUAGAUGUUAGAAUAAAGUAACAAUAAGAUUUUCGAUUACAUCCUCGAUGAAAAUUAUUUUAUUAAUUGAUUGCUUUUUCAAAUAAGAUAAAUUCAGAAUUUCAAAAUUUUAUGUUUUAACUUUUUUAAAUUUAUUUGUAUGAAUUAUAUGAAAAUUUUUAUAUUUUGAUUUUUAAAUAUUUCAUUCUAUUCAAUUAUAAUUUAAAAUAUUUUUAUUUAUGAGAGAAAAAAGAAAUAUAUAUCUUUAAUCUUUUUUUAUUUAUAUAAUUUAAUUGGAUAUAUUUUUAUAAAAAGAAAUGUUAAGAUUGAAUAUGCAUAAUAUUUUAUUUCGGAAAGAUAUAUAAAACAAAAUAAGUAUAUUCUUUUUUUGUAUGGUUGUAUGAAAAAAAUUGAGGGAACGUUUUCUUUAUGUAAUCUUUUUUUAUUAACAAAAUUUUUUUUUUGUUAAUUUUAAGUUUUAUCUAUUUAGGUGGGGGAUAAAAAAAAGUAUAUUUUUUUCUUUAUGUUUAUAUUAUUUGAUGGGAUAUAUUUUUAAAAAAAUUAAAUCUUUAAAUGUAAUAUGUAUACCAGGAGAUAUAAAAAAAGAAAAAUAUAUUUUUUGUAUUUUGUGCAUUAAGAAUGUAUGAUAAGAAAAUUGACAGCUUAUUUCGCAAGUGUAUGAAUCGCUACAAGUAAUAUAUGAUGAGUAAGAUAUCGUUCCCACGAGCAUUGUAAUCCAAGUACCAAAAUUAUGUUAUCUUAUUAUUAUUUAAACGAUAAAUGAGAAAAUUGUUUAUGGAAAUUAAACUCAACAAGUAAAAAUAAGAAGUAAGCAAGCAAUUAUUGAUUAAAGAAACCAAGGAAGUAAAACUACUAGGGGUUUUGAUUUCACUUUACUCUAUCCAAUUUAUUUCAUUAGUUCAUUAAACAAUUUAAUUAUUCAAGUAGGGGAAACAACUCGGAAUUCGCUAACAAGCUCUUCCGAUGUAUUGCUAGCUAUUUUAAUUUCAUUUAAUUACAUAUCUUCCAAUAGCGCAAUCAAAUAUAAAUUAAAUCAUUAGGUUUUGUAGUUUGUUUAUGAAUCCAUAAAUUAAGGUUGUUAAUUCAUGAAAACCCCUCAUGAGUCAAACCAUAUAGCUUCCGCAUCAAGUUAUUAUUCUCAUGUGUUUUAUUAACCUUUUCAUAUCAAAGAUCCUUCUUCCGAUAGUGAUAAUUGAAAUAAAUCAAUCUAGGGGAAAAUUCUGCCUAGAAGCAUUAAGUUCAUUAAUAAAUCAUAACUUGAAUAAGGAAAAAUAAAUCUAAUUGCAUAAAUUAGAAAAGAGAUUAAGCUACAUCAAACCCCCUAGUAUAAGAGUUUAGUUACACAUAGUACUUAAAUAAAACCCAAUAAUACUUGAUAAAUAUUCCAUAAUCAAUAAGAAUAAUGAAAGAAAUAAACAAGAUUAAGAGUUUAGAAAUAAGAACUAGUGAUAAGUUGCUUGGAUGGCUUCCUUGAAACUUUGCACAACUCUUGAAUACUUAGCUUCUAAAAAUAAACUAUAUACAAAACUAUAAAAUGAGAGAAAGAAAGAGUGGAGUGUAGUGUGAGAGAUAAUAAUUUUUGUAAUGGCUUCUUCUCCUCUUUAUAUAGACUUCAUGGGGGAACAUUUUUUCAUGCUUUAAUGAAUAAGGUCCAAUUUUAUGAGGUGGAAAAGCUCUAAAUCAAGCCAUAAUUUGCUUUCAAUUAUGGCUUUCCAAAUGCACAUGGUUGAACUUUGACUGGUAUGAGAAGAGAGCAUCCAAAGUGUCUUGUGAAAAUUGUCGAAAUUACUUAGCAACUUUUGACUCAAUUUUCAGCAUUUCUUGAUUGGCACGGGCGUGCUGCCUGGCACGGUCUGGGGCGUGCCAGGCUCUGGAGAUCUAGGCUCUUAGCACGGGUGUGCACGCUGGCGCGGGCAGGGCCGUGCACUCUCCUGGAAGUCUAGUUGAUGGCGCGCACGGCUAUGCGAGAUGACACGGGUUGAGGCGUGCAUCUCUCUGGAAGUCUAGAACUUGUGUAGCACGGGCGUGUUUCAGCUGCAAGGGCGAGGCCUCUAACUUCAGUGCAUGCACGGGCGUGCUCCUCGGCACGGCUUGGGGCGUGCAUCUCUCUGGAAAUCUGAGGCAAUUGAGACACGGGCGUGCGACUCAACAUGACUGGGGCGUGCGCGCCUCUGGCUUUUGGCUUGUUUCGCCUUGUGCUAGGCACGGCCGUGCUUUUUAGCACGGGCUGGGGCGUGCCAAUUGUGUUUUGCCUUGUUUUUGUUCUUUUCUUUGCAAAAUCCUACAAUUUUCUUCCCAACCAAGUGAGUUGUGUUUCAAGGAAGCUUUUGAUUUAAAACAUACAAAUAUUAUAUAAAAAAACUAAUUUAUAUAAAUUAAAAGUACUAGAAUUCUUAGUAAAAAUUACAAUAAAAUACUAUAAAAAUCAACACUAUCAAAAAUAAAUGAAAAUUUUUAUAUUUUGCUUUUUAAAUAUUUGAUAUUAUUUGUAUUAUAAUUUUAAAUAUUUUGUUUAUGAAAAAAAAAGAAUUUAAUAUAUUUUUAAUAUUUUUUAUUUAUAUAAUUUGAUUGGUUAUAUUUUUAUAAAAAGAAAUAUUUUAUUGAAUAUACAUAAUAUUUUUAUUUAGGAAAGAUAUAUAAAAGAAGAAAAGUUAUUUUUAUAUGGUUGUAUGAAAAAAAAAAUUGAGGGACCGUUUUCUCGAUGUAAUCUUUUUUAUUAAUAAAAUUUUUUUUGUUAAUUUUAAGUUUUAAUUAUCAAGGUGGGGGAGAAAAAAAGCAUUUUUUUUCUUUAUGUUUAUAUAAUUUGAUAGGAUAUAUUUUUUUUUUUUUAAAAAAAUCUUUAUAAUAGAGUAUGUAUACUAGGAGAGAUAAAAAAAUAUAUAUACUUAUUUUGUACGGUUUUGGGAAAAUUUGAGGAUUUAUUUGGAGAGCAUCAAAAUUUGCUUUUAUGUAAUUUUUUUAUUAUUUAAUUGAAUUUUUUUUACUUAUUUAUUAAUUUUAAAUUUGUAACUUAGAAUAUAGAGAAAAAAAAUAUUUGAAUAAAUUCAUUAAUUAACUAGUGGUGGAUCCUAGUAUGGUUUAUUUUGUAACUUCUAUUUUUAACUUGGCUUUAGUGUUUUUGUUUUUUGUCCAUUAAUAUUAAAUUUCAUUAAAUUAUGACAUUUUCAAUCAAUUAAUUUGUUGAGUUUUGAAAAUAAUUUUAUUUUUGACAAUAGAUUUUUUUUUUUAGUUAUUGAAUUGAUUUGUAACUACUAUGAUUUAAUUUACCAAGAGAUUUAUGUUUCUAUUGCAAUAAAUAGAUGACAUGAUGAUAAAAUUUUUCAAAUUUUUUGAUAUUGAAUAAGAAUUUGUGUAUGUAUUUUUUUUUUCUAAUGCAGUGGGUAAGUGAUACUAUCACUAUAAUUUCAUGUGAAUUUUGUUAUUAAUUCAAAUUAUCUUUUCUUUUAUUUAGCAGAAAAAAAUUUAUUAUUAUUUUUUAUUAGUGUUAUAUAUAAAUAUUAAUUUGAAAUUGAAAGGCGAGGAUGGAGAUUGAGUUAUGGCUUUUGGUUUUUUUUUUUUUUUUUUUUUUUUUUUUGUGCAAUAAGAAUAAAUGAGAGGAAAAAAAUAAAUUUGAAGUUGUGGCUUUUGUACAUUCGUAUGAUAAUAAAAUAAAUCAAUAUUUUUAUAUUUUGCUUUUUAAAUAUUUGAUUUUAUUUUAAUUAUAAUUUAAAAUAUUUUAUUUAUGAGAGGAAAAAAAAGAAAAAAAUAUAGAUAUUUUUAGUAUUUUUUUUAUUUAUGUAAUUUGGUUGGAUGUAUUUUAUAAAAAGAAAUCUUUAAAUUGAAUAUACAUAAUAUUUUAUUUAGGAAAGAUAUAUAACUUUUUUUGUAUGGUUGUAUGAAAAAAAUUGAGGGAAACGUUUUCUUUAUAUUAAUUUUAAGUUUUACUUAUUUAGGUGGAGGAUAAAAAAAAGUAUAUUUUUUUUCUUUAUGUUUGUAUCAUUUGAUAGGAUAUAUUUUUAAAAUAUAAAUCUUUAAAUAGAAUAUGUAUAUUAGGAGAUUUAUAAAAAAAUAAAAUUAUAUUUUUUUUAUAGUUUAGGAAAAAUUGAGGAUUUAUUUGGGGAGUAUCGAAUUUUACUUUUAUGUAAUUUUUUUAUUAAUGAAUUGAUUUUUUUCUGAAGAAAUUGAUUUAUUUAUUUAUUUUAAAUUGAUUUAUAUUCCUAUUGCAAUAAAUAGAUGACAUGAUAAUUAAGUUUUUCAUUUUUUUUGAUAUUUUUUCUCUUAUAUUCAAAAUAUGUUUGAUUGGAAAGAAAAAUAGUGGUUAUGAAAUUGAAUAUAUUGCUUCUUUUGGUCACUUAUUUAAGAAUUUGUUUAUAUAUAUUUUUUUUAAUGCACCGGGUAAAUGAUACUAUAUCUACAGUCUCAUGUGAAUUUUGUUAUUAAUUCAAAUCAUUUUUCUUUUUUUCUUUUUUACUUAGCAAAAAAGUAUAAUUCAUUAUUAUUUUUCAUUAGUUUUAUAUAUAAAUAUUAAUUUUAAGUUGAGGGGCGAGGAUGGAGAUUGAGUCAUAGCUUGUGUUUUUUUUUUUUUUUUUUGGUGCAUUAAGAAUGUAUGAUAAUAAAAUAAAUGAAUAUUUGUAUAUUUUGCUUUUGAAAUAUUUGAUUUUAUUUAAUUAUAAUAUAAAUAUUUUAUUUAUGAGAGAAAAAAGAAAUAUUUAAAUUGAAUAUACAUAAUGUUUAAAAAGAAAUAUUUUAAUAUUUUUUAUUUAUAUAAUUUGAUUGGAUAUAUUUUUAUAAAAAGAAAUAUUUAAAUUGAAUAUACAUAAUGUUUUAUCUAGAAAAGAUAUAUAAAAAAAUGUAUAUUCUUUUUUUUGCAUGUUUUAUGAAAAAUUGAGGGACCGUUUUCUUUAUGUAAUCUACUUUUAUUAAUAAAAUUUUUUGUUAAUUUUGAGUUUUAGGUGGAGGUUAAAAAAUUAUUUUUUUUCUUUAUAUUUGUAUAAUUUGAUAGGAUAUAUUUUUUUAAAAAAUAAAUUUUUAAAAUAGAAUAUGUAUACUAGGAGAGAUAAAAAAAAAAAAAGUAUAUUUUUUUGUAUGGUUUUAGGAAAAAUUGAGGAUUUAUUUUGUGAGCAUCGAAUUUUUCUUUUAUGUAAUUAUUUUUAUUAAUUAAUUGAUUUUUUUUAGUGAAGUAAUUGACUUAUUUAUUUAUUUUAAAUUUAUAACUUAGAAUAAUAUAGAAACAAAAUAUUUGAUUCAUUAAUUAAUUAAUGGUGCAUCUUAGUAUGAUUUUACUUUGUAAUUUAUAUUUAUUAACUUGGCUUUAGUGUUUUUUUUCCAUUAAUAUCAGAUUUCAUAAAUUAUGACAUUUUCAGUCAAUUAAUUUAUUGAGUUCUGAAAAAAGUUUUAUUUUUAAUAAUAAUUUUUUAUUUUUUUGUUAUUGAAUUGAUUUCUAACUAUUAUGAUUUAAUUUACUAACAGAUUUAUGUUCCUAUUGCAAUAAAUAGAUGACAUGGUAAUUAAAUUUUUGAAUUUUUUUGAUAUUUUUUCUUUCAAAAUAGUUUGAUUUGAAAGAAAAUAGUGGUUAUAAAAUUAAAUAUAUUGAUGUUUUAGGUCACUUAUUUAAGAAUUUGUGUAUAUAUUUUUUUCUAAUGCACUAGGUCAGUGAUACUAUCGCUAUAGUCUCAUAUGAAUCUUGUUAUUAAUUCAAAUAAUCAUUUUUUUUCUUUUACUUAGCGGAAAAAAGUAAUUUAUUAUUAUUUUUCAUUAGCGUUAUAUAUAAAUAUUAAUUUGAAGUUGAGGAGUGAGAAUGGAGAUUGGGUCAUGGCUUGUGUUUUUUUUUUUUCCGGUGCAUUAAGAAUGUAUGAUAAUAAAAUAAAUGAAAAUUUUUAUAUUUUGCUUUUUAAAUAUUUGAUUUGUUUUAAUUAUAAUUUAAAAUAUUUUAUUUAUGAGAGAAAAAAGAAAAAGAUAUAUUUUUUAAUAUUUGUUAUUUAUAUAAUUUAAUUGGAUAUAUUUUUAUAGAAAGAAAUAUUUAAAUUGAAUAUACAUAAUGUUUUAUUUAGGAAAGAUAUAUAAAAGAAAAAAGUGUAUAUUCCUUUUUUUGUAUGUUUCUAUGAAAAAAAUUGAGAGACUGUUUUCUUUAUGUAAUCUUUUUUUAUUAAUAAUUUUUUUUUUGUUAAUUUUAAGUUUUAUUUAUUUAGGUGGGGAUAAAAAAAGUAUAUUUUUUUUCUUUAUGUUUGUAUAAUUUGAUAGGAUAUAUUUUUUAAAAAAAUAAAUCUUUUAAAUAGAAUAUGUAUACAAGGAGAGAAAAAAAAAAAAGAAAAAAAAUAGUUUUUUGUAUGGUUUUUGGAAAAAAUUGAGGAUUUAUUUGGAGAGUAUCGAAUUUUCUUUUAUGUAAUUUUUUUUAUUAAUUAAUUGAAUUUUUUUUUUUCUAAAAUAAAUUUAAUAUCACAAAGUUAUGUAAGGAUUUCAGUGGUGUUAUUCUUACUUGUUGACUCUUAAGAAGAUGUGUAUAAAGAAACCCAGUAAAGACAGAGGACCUACAGCCAAAAGGGCUUUGAAUUAAUAACUUUAAUUUAAUUUCAUUUGAUAUAAAGUAAUCUUUCUUUCACCGAUAAAUUAGGGUUUUUGAUUGAUUGAUGUGCCUUCUGCAGAGCGGUCACCUAUCCCAUCUAUCUAUAAAGACCACCACAAUUAGCCAAAUAAGAGUCACACUGAUAUAAUUCCAUAUAGGGAGAAAUUAAGGCAAAAAAGAAAAAAAGAGAUCAGCUGAAAUGAAAAGAGGGUCUGUCGAAUUGUCUUUACCUGUUCUGCUAAUGAUACUGAUCAUCUGCACCAAUGCUUCAACAAGCAAAGCUGCAAUUUUAACCCGUAGAACAAUCACUGGAUCUUGGAAUGAUGAUAUGCCCGAAUUCAUUGCAGACGAAGAGCACUUGAUGGAAUCCAAUGUGAGCCAGAUUCUUCUUCAACAGAAUAAUUAUAUUACUUAUCCAGCAUUAAAUAAACAAGCAUUUUGCACAGAAGGAAUAUAUGGUAAUUGUCUUGGGAAGGAAAUGAAAAUUGGCAGGCCUUGUAAUGCCUACGAUCGUUGCAGAGGAGGUUCCCCAAGUUGACCAGAAGAAGACGACGUAUAUACAAAUACGGCAGGUUUGAAGCAUUCAUAUAUAGUGUGUGUGUGGAUCUGUAUUAUUUAGCUAUUAUAUAUAAUUAAAGAAGCUCGAUGGUAUUGUAAUCUUAGCUCGAUGAUAAUGCUACUCUAAUCACGCUGAGGUUAUUAUCAUCACAGAGCAUAACUUUGUUAUCCUUGAUUAUUAAUUUACGGUAUUAUGAAGAACUGUAUUUGCUGUAGAAUUCUUUGCUGUUGUAUAGAUUAUAUUCUAUUAUUUCUAGUCGCCGUUUGAGAGGCUAUCAAAAUUAUCCAAGCUUAUACAUAAUCAUUUGAGUAUACUGAAGUCGUGAUUUAUAAAAAAUCUAUCAUUUCUCAUGAAGUGUCAAUUGUUCACUGUAGAAUUUUAUAUGAUAAGUGUUAAAUUUGAAGUAAGGAUGUUGGGUUAUUAAUAAUUUCUACAAUACUAUUAAAUAUGACCUCUACAAGGACAAGAUCUACUUAAGUUCAGCAAACGAUUAAAAUUAAGGGUUUGAUAUGUAAAAAAUAUUCAUAGAAUAUUUAAACCAUCCGAUGUUCGAAAUUCGUGACUUGACUAAUUCAGAUUUAUACCAAACAUAUCUAUAAAGAGCACAAAGCACUCCUCUCAAAUGUUUAAUUGAAGGAUAAGAAAUGUGCGAUGAAUUAAAAUUCUUAGGGCAAAGAAUUUUAUACCACCACAAACUUCAAAAUAAUGUCAGUAUUGCCCCCAAAUAAAGUGUGGAUACUCAUUAAAAAAAUCCAAAGAUUAUUUGUAUGACAUUCGUGUUUGGGUUAAUUGCCCUUUUAAUUAACUGAAUUUUUUUUCGCGGAAGAAAGUAAAUAAUAGAGUUAUCAUCAAGUUUUAGAUAAUAAUUGAAUGGUUAGAUACAUUUCUCUCCGAUAGUAAUUUUUGUCACAUCCAAAAUGACAAAUGACAACAAAAUUGACUUAUCAUUACUUUCCAAAAAAUAAAACGACAAUAUUGUCUUUGAUUUUAAGGACAAAAUCACAUCAUGCUUCAAUUUGUCGUAUCAUGUAGCUGAUUCAAUGCAAAUUCUUUUCUCACACUAUUAGUAUAAUUAUUUAUGGGCCGGGCCUAAGCGAGCCAAGUUUGACCUUGCCACACCAAAAACAUUUGAGCCCGGUUGGAUCAAGCCCGACUUUGUAGAAACCCUCGUUCCAAGUCUGGUCAGCUUUAAUCUGGCCGUUAAAUUUUUCACCCCUACUUAUUUUUUCUGGUUCCGCUGCUGCGUCCAAACUCACACCUUCAUCUUUCAGCCUCCAUUGGAGACUGCAAAUCAUAGUCAUGAUUUUUUUUUUUUUUUUCUACAACAAACUGACAGAAAAUUUCCAUUAUGCACACUGCAGUUUUCUACCUUCUCCUUCUCAGUCCCCUUCUUUCAACCAUUGCAAUCCAAAACCUGUCUCCUUACACCCCUGCGGAUCUAAUUCUCCUAAAUUGUGGUGCACCAAAUGAAGGACAAUCAAUGGAUGGCCGGAACUGGGAGGGUGAUGCCGGUCAUAGGUCCAAAUAUUGUCCUUUCAACUCUGAAAUCUCAUCACCUUCCAAAGCCUCCCAACAAGACUCUUCUGUUACUCCGGUACCCUACAUGACAGCUCGAAUAUAUCGCUCUAAAUUCACUUGCACGUUUCCUGUCUCCAUGGGACCAAAGUUUAUCCGUCUUUAUUUCUAUCCAACUACCUACUCAGGCCUCAACAUAUCAACAUCCUUCUUCUCCGUCACUGCGAAUGAUUACACCCUUUUAAGUAACUUCAGUUCAUAUCUAACUGUUUCUGCAAUGCAACCACCAGUUGCAUACUUUGUCAAAGAAUUUAUCAUCUCUGUAUGGGAUAACCAAGCAGUCAUCAACUUAACUUUUACUCCAUCUCCAAAUUCUUUUGCUUUCAUUAAUGGCAUAGAAAUAGUUUCCAUGCCAACCAAUCUGUACGCAAAAGAUAACGACUAUGCUUAUCCCUUUGUAAAUGACAACAGUAUCUUCAAUUUCGACAACACAACGG